CGCUGGCCUCGAAAGAGGCAUGUGCACGCCUGAGCUCUUAAAUCCACAACACACCUGUGAACCCACCGUAGGCCUUCGGGCUUAUGUAUCAUAUACUCUGAAUGUGUCAUAGAAUGUUCAUGUUGCCUUAAAACGCAAUCAAAUACAACUUUCAACAACGGAUCUCUUGGCUCUCGCAUCGAUGAAGAACGCAGCGAAAUGCGAUAAGUAAUGUGAAUUGCAGAUUUUCAGUGAAUCAUCGAAUCUUUGAACGCACCUUGCGCUCCUUGGUAUUCCGAGGAGCAUGCCUGUUUGAGUGUCAUUAAAUUCUCAACCCCACCGAUUUGUUUUGGGGGGAUUGGACUUGGAGUGUGCUGGCGAAGGUCGGCUCCUCUUUAAAUGCAUCAGUGGAGAGAAACUUGCCCCAGUGUGAUAAUCCUGUUGUGCUGUGGUGGGUGAAAGUCUGCUUUCAACUGUCCUCCGGGACGAUACACCAUCUUAUUUUGACCUCAAAUCAGGUAGGACUACCCGCUGAACUUAAGCAUAUCAAUAAGCGGAGGAAAAGAAACU
rnacentral:rRNA from 1 species